AUUGAACGCUGGCGGCAUGCCUUACACAUGCAAGUCGAACGGCAGCACGGGAGCUUGCUCCUGGUGGCGAGUGGCGAACGGGUGAGUAAUACAUCGGAACGUACCCUGAAGUGGGGGAUAACGUAGCGAAAGUUACGCUAAUACCGCAUAUUCUGUGAGCAGGAAAGAGGGGGAUCGCAAGACCUCUUGCUUUAGGAGCGGCCGAUGUCGGAUUAGCUAGUUGGUGAGGUAAAGGCUCACCAAGGCGACGAUCCGUAGCGGGUCUGAGAGGAUGAUCCGCCACACUGGGACUGAGACACGGCCCAAACUCCUACGGGAGGCAGCAGUGGGGAAUUUUGGACAAUGGGCGCAAGCCUGAUCCAGCCAUGCCGCGUGAGUGAAGAAGGCCUCGGUUGU
rnacentral:rRNA from 1 species